rnacentral:lncRNA from 1 species
AACCUCCAUAUGCCGCGGGAGCGGCCCAAGAAAUAGCAACAACAACAACAACAAAAGACAAAAAAAAAAAAAAAAGAAGAUGUGGUAUAAAUACGCAAUGGAAUACUACGCAACCAUAAAAAAGAACAAAAUAAUGCCAUUUGCAGCAACAUGGAUACAAGUAGAUAUUAUCAUACUAAGUGAAGUUAGUUAGAAAGAGAAAGACAGAUACCAUCUAGUGUCAUUUAUAUGUGAUAUCUAAGAUAUGGCACAAGUAAACCAAUCUAUAAAACAGAAACUGACUCACAGACAAGCAGAACAGACUUGUGGUUGCCAAGGGGAGGAGGAAGGGAGGGGGAUGAACUGGGAGUCUGGGGUUAGUAGAUGCAAACCGUUACAUUUAGAAUGGAUAAGAAAUAAGGUCUUACUGUACAGCAUAGGGAACUAUAUCCAAUCUCUUGGGAUAGACCAUGAUGGAAGAUAAUAUAAGAAAAGGAAUGUGUAUGUAUAUAUGACUAGGUCACUUUGCUGUACAGCAGAAAUUGGCUCGACAUUGUAAAUCAAUUAUACUUUAAUUAAAAAAUAAAUUUAAGGGAGUUCCCUUCGCGAUCCUUAACCCACUGAGCAAGGCCAGGGAUCGAACCCACAACCUCAUGGUUCCUAGUUGGAUUUGUUCACCACUGAGCCACGACGGGAACUCCUAUUCUUUAUAUUUUUUUAAAUUGAAGUAUAGUUGAGGUACACCAUUAUAUAAUUUUAAGGUGUACCACAUAGUGAUUCACAAUUUUGAAAGGUUGUACUCCAAAAGGUUUUACUUUUUAUAUCCCCUUGUCACUUCCGUGGCAUCCUGAAUUGCUGUGCCUCUGGAACAGAUGAUAGGAGUGGGCAAACACGCUCUCCUUGUGCUCCUGGCAACAAGGAAGCAUUGCUGGUGAGAUGUGUCUGCAGAGUGGCCCCGUGGAUGGACCUGAUUCUGUUCCUUGGGCAAAGCUUCCCAGGGCCUCGUGGAUCUCCUCCUAGUAGGUGGGGCUGUGAGAACAGUGCCCAUUGGCUAAUAGGACUUGACUACUUAUUUGUACAUAGGUGUAAUGAAGAGGCUUCCUUUGUGUUGUUGAAUCCAGGUUUGGUUUUGUUAGAAGUGUGUCAGCAGUUCAAAAGGAAGAAAUGUUUGAUCCGUUUGGGAAGGCACAGGUUGGCCAUUUCUCUCUUGAGAGCAGCUCCACACGAGUAAAUUCAAAACAUUUGAAACAAACUAAACACUCUUCUGUCGUCACAGGACCACUAGCCUAGAUGAUGAGGUCAAGUCCUAACACAAAGUGAGGGACGGAAGAAAACAAAUCAGUUCUAGGCUUGAAAACUAGCUCAUUCCUUUACUAAUGGAAAAACCUAGGGGAAAUUAGGAGAAGUGUUUGGAGCCUCAGUUUUCUUCAUCUGUAAAAUGGAGAUAAUAAUUCCUGCCUCAUUUGUGUCUCGUGAGGAUGAAAUUUGCUGACAUGGUGUCUAUCUGUGGUGGGCAUUUGUAAAUAUAGUUUUUCCCUACUCUUUUAAAUUUCUCUACCUAAGUUUAUCGACUGUAAAAAAGAUGUUUUGCAGAUGACCAUUAAGCUGUGUUUUAGUUCUAAAACACCAAUAAAUUGUGCUCUUGGUAAUAAUCAGAGGAAAAACAAAAUGAGGAUUAAGUCCAGUGAGAGUUUUGUGUCUUUUAUGAGAGAUUUGGGGGAGAGGGGGCAACUGUAGGGCAAAAAUUAGAGAAGAAGGAAUUUUUAAAGAGGAAAAAAAAUUAGGCUUUGCUCUCCAGAGAUAACCCCCCCCAAAAGAAAAGACUUCAGUGCAAAGAAACAGCUAAUAAAAGCUCGAAAGAGCUUUCAGU